CUCCACUUUCCCCGCAGCAGGCGUGUGCUGCUGUUACUGGUCUUUGCCACUUUGAUUGAGAGCACGGAGGGAUUUUUCCACGCCACAACUCUGCUGGAUCUCCUGAAGACCAGGCAGACCCAACGACACUAGACAGACGGACUGGGGAUUUCUCCAUCACUGUUGCACAUAAGAAGAGUGGUGAUAGGAAGAGUGGACACAGCAGUGUUCAUACCAGGCACUGUCCUGGAGCCAGUGAUGCCAGAGGGAGCAAGCCUCCUACCCUACAAAACUCAUCUCCUGUGACCUUCUAGCCUGAGUCAAGCUGGGAUCGUCAUUGCUCUGUGUGGGCAAGGUUACAUCACAGCUUGGCAGUCUCUCCCUUUGGACCAGGGUCUGCGGUGCAGGAGAUGGAAGAAGAGAAGACGGCAGCAAUAAAGCAAUUUCUACUGGUUAAAUAGCUUCCUGCCACUGCCUAGGAAUAAGUCAGUGGCCAAAUAAGGGAAUGGACCUUGAAGGAGGGUCGUCGUAAUGCAAUCUAAUGUUUUAGCAAGGGAAAGAAGAGGUCAUGAGGAAUCAAGUUCUACCUCUGGUAAAAAGCCUCUUGCUCCCAGAAGAAAGUCAAGUAGGAACAUACACCUUUGAAUGACAUCUCGCCAUUUACUGAAGUUAUCAUCAUCAGAUCUGUGCUACCUACCCAUUAAAACUUGUCUGGACAUUUUUAAACCUCAAUAGUCAUCAUUCAUUGGAUCGGCAUAUGAUGGCUUAUGUGAAAUUUUAACUUCUGAGUACGUUUUGUUAGGAACGGUUGACCACAUAGACUUCCAGAUGCACUUUCUCUUCUGAUCAGGUCUAGUUUCUAAAGCAUAGUGGUAUUCUAAUUUUGCACAUUUCUAUAUAUUUAGCUAUAUUUAUUGAUUUUUCUUUAAAAGUCUCUUGGUUCAUAGUUCUUACUGUGAAAAACCUCAAUUCUUUUUAAACACAGAGUCUUCCUUGACUAAAAAAGACAGUUUACUAGAUGUAGCAUACAAACCAGUAGCAAUAUGAAAGUUUUCCUUCUUCAGAUGUUUGUUUUUAACUUGUAAAUGCCUUUAUAUCACAGCUCAGCAUAUGUGUGAAUAACAUAUAGAAUUCAAGGGGUAAGAAAGUUAUCACAGCUCAGCAUAUAUGUUAGUAACAUGUAAAAUACAUGGGAGUAAGAAAGUUACCACAGCUUAGAAUAGGUGUGAGUAGCAUAUAAAAUACACAGGAGUAAGAAAGCUGUAUAAACUUGGAAUGUAUCUGUUUCUGCACUUUAACUUGGAAUUGAAAGUUCAAGUCAUGCAAGCUUAUUUAAAUUCUUCCCUUAUGCCAUGAACAUUCAUUUGUUAAUGUUUACUAAUUAAUACAUUUGCACAUAAGUUAGUUUAAAUCAAGAAAAUGACUCACAUAUGACUAUAAUUUUAAAUCCUUAAAUAUCUCUACAUUUUAAAGUCAGUGAUGUAAAUAAUUAAAGAUAGAAUAAAUUUUUAUAUGAGCAUAGAUGAUUGGAGAGAUGUCUCUGUGCUUAAUAGCACUUGUUCUUCUUCCAGAGAAUUUGAGUUUGCAUACAAGCCCUCACAUAUGAUGCAUUACUCCUGCCUGAAACUGCAGCUCCAGAGCAUCUAAUACUGUCUUGUGGCCUUUGAAGGCUCGCAUGCACACACACACAGAUUCACAUAUAAGUGGACGCACACACACACACACACACACACACACACACACACACAAACUUAUCUGUCUGUCUAUCUAUCUAUCUAUCUAUCUAUCUAUCUAUCUAUCUAUCACAUUUCGUAAGUGAGCAUUGGCAACAUUCGAAAACUAUUAUUAUCCUUUAAUAAAGAAAGCAAUAUUGAUAUUAUACAUAGAAA
rnacentral:lncRNA from 1 species